CUGAGGCCCUGAGGGGUUGGGAUGAGCUCAAAGCCACCAGUUGGUCAGGAGAGGGAACCGAAGCAGGUUUUCCAGCGCUUCCUGGGUGUCUGUGACAUAAGAGCAUCUCAGAAACGGCCCGCCCUUCAGGCACUUAGACUUGUUUAGAGGAAACCAGAUGGAGACCGAUCAUAGGUCCCCUCCUCCUGGCCCUGCAGAUUGAGAACCUUCCGACCCUGAGCCUCACAGGGCACGCCCAGGCACACCCUCGGCAGACAGAGUGAGUGGCUGCUGCCUAGCACGGCGCCUGACCACACGAUUGGGCUCAGUGUUUGAAGACCCAAGGAUGAGGAGUGCUCUUGCCCUGGGGACAGGAGAGCCUGGAAGUCACGUCACCUCCCUGCGCCUCUGUCACCUC
ensembl:lncRNA